GGGUGUGUUGCAGUCACGGUCUGUGGACUCAUAAUCCCUGGGUCGCGGGUUCGAGUCCUGCCCGGCCUA
rnacentral:tRNA from 1 species